GUAGGAGCUUAUACAGGCAAAUCCGUAUAAGAACACUCCGAGAACUGAAAGGCUUUUUGAAGUCUUCGGAUGGAUAGAAGAACCCCUGAUGCCGUCGAGCCAAGAAAAGUUUCUAAGUUUAGCUAAUGUUGCCCGUACCGUAAACCGACACAGGUGGGUGGGAUGAGUAUUCUAAGGCGCGUGGAAGAACUCUCUUUAAGGAACUCUGCAAAAUAGCACCGUAUCUUCGGUAUAAGGUGUGGUUAGCUUCGUACUAGGAUUUACUCCGAAAGCGAAGAAACUUACAACAAAGAGUCCCUCCCGACUGUUUACCAAAAACACAGCACUCUGCUAACUCGUAAGAGGAUGUAUAGGGUGUGACGCCUGCCCGGUGCUCGAAGGUUAAUUGAUGGGGUUAGCAUUAGCGAAGCUCUUGAUCGAAGCCCGAGUAAACGGCGGCCGUAACUAUAACGGUCCUAAGGUAGCGAAAUUCCUUGUCGGUUAAAUACCGACCUGCAUGAAUGGCGUAACGAGAUGGGAGCUGUCUCAAAGAGGGAUCCAGUGAAAUUGUAGUGGAGGUGAAAAUUCCUCCUACCCGCGGCAAGACGGAAAGACCCCGUGGACCUUUACUACAGCUUGACACUGCUACUUGGAUAAGAAUGUGCAGGAUAGGUGGGAGGCUUUGAGUAUAUGACGCCAGUUGUAUAUGAGCCGUUGUUGAGAUACCACUCUUUCUUAUUUGGGUAGCUAACCAGCUUGAGUUAUCCUCAAGUGGGACAAUGUCUGGUGGGUAGUUUGACUGGGGCGGUCGCCUCCCAAAUAAUAACGGAGGCUUACAAAGGUUGGCUCAGAACGGUUGGAAAUCGUUCGUAGAGUAUAAAGGUAUAAGCCAGCUUAACUGCAAGACAUACAAGUCAAGCAGAGACGAAAGUCGGUCUUAGUGAUCCGGUGGUUCUGUGUGGAAGGGCCAUCGCUCAAAGGAUAAAAGGUACCCCGGGGAUAACAGGCUGAUCUCCCCCAAGAGCUCACAUCGACGGGGAGGUUUGGCACCUCGAUGUCGGCUCAUCGCAUCCUGGGGCUGGAGCAGGUCCCAAGGGUAUGGCUGUUCGCCAUUUAAAGCGGUACGCGAGCUGGGUUCAGAACGUCGUGAGACAGUUCGGUCCCUAUCUGCCGUGGGCGUAAGAAGAUUGAAGAGAUUUGACCCUAGUACGAGAGGACCGGGUUGAACAAACCACUGGUGUAGCUGUUGUUCUGCCAAGAGCAUCGCAGCGUAGCUAAGUUUGGAAAGGAUAAACGCUGAAAGCAUCUAAGCGUGAAGCCAACUCUAAGAUGAAUCUUCUCUAAGCUCUCUAGAAGACUACUAGUUUGAUAGGCUGGGUGUGUAAUGGAUGAAAGUCCUUUAGCUGACCAGUACUAAUAGAGCGUUUGGCUUAUCUUUAAUAAAGCAU
rnacentral:rRNA from 1 species